ensembl:lncRNA FBXO38-DT FBXO38 divergent transcript
AGCCUCAAACCCGUGUCCAUAUUGUGUGUGUGAAGAAGCAUCGAAGCGCGGCAGCCAUGUUCAGCGUGGCAUUUCGGAAGGCUUGUCAGGGGUGGAGAAGCGGGGCGGGUUGCUGUUCUUUCACCUGACACUAAAGCGCCAUGCCGGAAGCACUGAGUCUGAUACGUCGGAACCAGUCUCCACCGUGUGGUUUGGUCUUGAUUUCCACUGGUACUCUGGGGUCUUGGAUAAGUCUCUGGACCUCGCCUUUGUCAUUUGCGAAGUCGAUAGGUUCCAAUAGAGAUUUUCCCAGAAUCAUUCAACUAAAAAUAGAGAACUUUUUUUUUUUGAGAGGAAGGACGGGGGCGCAGUUAAAGAUGUUAAUGUUAAGUCAUCCCUUCUGUGAUUUCGGGACAUUAUCUUUGCACGCCAUGUGAAGAUGUGCUUGCUUCCUUGUCACCUUCCGCCAUGAUUGUAAGUUUCCUGAGGCCUCCCAGGAAGCAGAAGCCUGUACAGCCCACAGAACCAUGACCUGAUGAAAUCUCUUUUCUUUAUAAAUUACCCAGUCUCAGAGGAAACAAAAGGAGGGUGUUAGAGGAAAAAGAGGGAAACCCACUGACAGAGAGGAAGGCUGAAGAGAUCCCACCGCUGACUUGGACUAAGGAGAGAGAAGUCAAAGAGUGGUUACCUGGAUGAGGUGGCUGAAUAUGGGCCUGCUCUUGUCACUUUGGAUGUCACAACUAGCCUUGAGAAGAGCUGCUGUUCCAGGAGUCUGUCACAACUAGCCUUGAGAAGAGCUGCUGUUCCAGGAGUCUGUAGCCAAGGACGUACAGCAGUGGAGGCUGACUCAUCGCAUAGCUGAGUGACCAAUUGCUUGGCAUGAGUUUACUUUAAUGGCUGUUUCUGAGUUUGAUCCCUCUCCGGAACCAACCCCUCUGAUGUGUCCUGUUCCAGCAGGAAGAGACAGACCUGGAGGUUCUGUACUUGUGAUUUCUGGUUGUGGAUCCUGAGAACAAGAAGUACUGGGAUCCUAAAGUUCUGACAUUUGCAAAGCAGAUUAAUGACCUACCACAUUCCAGAUCAUUUGGUGAUUUUGUGUGUGCGUGUGGGUGUGUGUGUGUGUGUGCCAAAUUCAAGGUGGUCCCAGCCUUUCUAGUCUUCUCUAACCUUUCUUCUCAGAAGUCGCACCUGUUCUGUCUUUCUAGGAUAUAAUUUUUUUUCUAUUAGCCUGGGUAACACCCCAACCAAUAAAGUUUGCAAUAUCCAAGCCUCCUAAUUUCUCUACUUAUUAGCUUAUAUUAAGCUUCAGCAUGAGCAAGCCUAAAAACUCGCCAUUAUCUGGAAAAGUUCUAUUUCACAGGCUUUAAUCUCUCCUAGAGUAGUUAGCACUCUUUUGUGGCUUUGUGUUCCUGUACUAGCUUGAAUUCCACAGUCUGACGUUAAUAAUUAGCUCCUUAACACGUCCAUCCUCUCUUGAUGUCCUGCUCUCUAUUUUUCCUUCUUUCUUCCAAGUUGGGAUAAAUUCAGCUUCUUAUUUUCCUGCUCCAGACCUUGGUUGUGGAGAAAGAUAGAAAAAGUUCCAUACAGGGGACUCUGUGAUCCUGCUAACAUCAUUAUUUACCUAAGCUCUUUAGACUCCAGUGAAAGCUUCUGAUUUAAUGUCAUGUCCCUACUUUAUGCCACAUGUCCCAUACCAUUUUCUUUGUUUUAUGCAAUUUAUUUCCACUAUCUGAUCCCAUUCCACCCACAUGACUUUGAGUGGAAAACUUCAUCUCUUCAUUGCUGAGUAAACAAACUUCAGGAUGAACAAGCCCUGUCCACUAUUUUCCCUUUUACUUUAAAAUUCUGGAAUUUUUAUGAUCUACGUUUUUUUCCUCUGUUUUUAUUCUUCACUCCAUAUCAACUUACUUGGGGAUCUACACCUUCAUUCAUUCUUUUCAUUCUGUCGGCACCUGGCUAUGGAGUUUACAUUUCUCAUCAUAUUUACUCCUCAUAAUAAUCCUGUGAGGUAUAUACCACUCUGAGUCUUGUAUAAGAGAAAAAGAAACUGAGAUAGGGAUAACUCAAAGGGAUAAUUCAUUUGCUGGAGCUACCAACUAGCUACUAACCAUGCUAGAAUGGACAGAGAUGACAUUCAUGCCAAAGACCAUGUUGACUUGCUAUCUCUACAUUUGCUCUAAGUUUAGAAAAAAAAAAUCCCUUCAAUUUAUCCUCCAACAGUCUUCUUAGAACCUUACCAUGGAUGCCU